AGCGAACGCUGGCGGCAGGCUUAACACAUGCAAGUCGAACGGGCGUAGCAAUACGUCAGUGGCAGACGGGUGAGUAACGCGUGGGAACGUACCUUUUGGUUCGGAACAACCCAGGGAAACUUGGGCUAAUACCGGAUAAGCCCUUACGGGGAAAGAUUUAUCGCCGAAAGAUCGGCCCGCGUCUGAUUAGCUAGUUGGUGUGGUAACGGCGCACCAAGGCGACGAUCAGUAGCUGGUCUGAGAGGAUGAUCAGCCACAUUGGGACUGAGACACGGCCCAAACUCCUACGGGAGGCAGCAGUGGGGAAUAUUGGACAACGGGCGCAAGCCUGAUCCAGCCAUGCCGCGUGAGUGAUGAAGGCCCUAGGGUUGUAAAGCUCUUUUGUGCGGGAAGAUAAUGACGGUACCGCAAGAAUAAGCCCCGGCUAACUUCGUGCCAGCCGCCGCCGU
rnacentral:rRNA from 1 species